rnacentral:piRNA from 1 species
UAAAAGUAGGCCUGACUUCCCAAACUGGAG